CUUAACAGGGACUCGAGUAGGUUCCAUAUUAAUAGUUAAUCUUCACCCACCCUCAGGGUGGGUCUUUCCUCCGCAACUACAUGGUUUUGGAGACUCCCUCGGAAGUACGCCGAGUGAUGUAUUUCUGUGGUGAUUGUAAAGUCUGUCAAGCUGACAAUUAGGAUAAAAUAAGCAAGACGUAAAUUCUAAAACUAUGAUUUCAGAACAAUGAAACCAACAACUGCCUCAAUAUCGGUGCUGAAGAAUAAAUUUCGUGUUUGGUGUUUCAAGGUUGCAGUGGCGAUGACUCAUCAUAGACCCCAGUGUCAGUAGAGGCUCAAAGUCUCUCAUACAAAAUGGCUGAAGCCGCACAAUUGUUCUCUUAGUGGGUCGGCCAUUUUCCAGACGAUCACUCACCAGGAGGUUAUUCCAGCACUAGCCCGGACACCAUUCGUCGAGAGAUUCACUAAAGCCUGACACUCCAUGGCCUGAUGCAGCUGUCCUGGCCCACCAGAAGCUACCGUCUCAGAGAAACAACAUCUGCCCCCUUCACGGUCCCAGAGAGAGUGCCCUGUACACCCCCUGCCCUGAUAACUUAUUACUACAUGAACUUUCCAAUAACGUUCUGAUGAAGACAUUUAAACUACUGUGGGAAGUAAAAGCAGAUGAAGAAUCAGGACCUAUUGAGUGAAAGUCAUCUGUCAAGUUCACCCAGGCGUUAAGAGAAGCGCUCAAACCCAGACAGCUGGAAAGCCAGGCAGCUGACGCUAGCUAGCACAAGUGCCUAACCGAAGCCAUACGACCUGCGUCCUGUGCUCCAGCCUUUGUAAUAAUGAUAAGCUUGGUGAGCUCUUCCCUCCAGAGGGACAUUAGGCGGGAGGGAACCUAAUUAUAAAGGCCAUCUGCAGUUAUCU
rnacentral:sRNA from 1 species